rnacentral:rRNA from 1 species
AUUGAACGCUGGCGGCAGGCCUAACACAUGCAAGUCGAACGGUAACAGGAAGAAGCUUACUUCUUUGCUGACGAGUGGCGGACGGGUGAGUAAUGUCUGGGAAACUGCCUGAUGGAGGGGGAUAACUACUGGAAACGGUAGCUAAUACCGCAUAACGUCGCAAGACCAAAGAGGGGGACCUUCGGGCCUCUUGCCAUCGGCUGUGCCCAGAUGGGAUUAGCUAGUAGGUGGGGUAACGGCUCACCUAGGCGACGAUCCCUAGCUGGUCUGAGAGGAUGACCAGCCACACUGGAACUGAGACACGGUCCAGACUCCUACGGGAGGCAGCAGUGGGGAAUAUUGCACAAUGGGCGCAAGCCUGAUGCAGCCAUGCCGCGUGUAUGAAGAAGGCCUUCGGGUUGUAAAGUACUUUCAGCGGGGAGGAAGAGAGUAAAGUUAAUAGCUUUGCUCAUUGACGUUACCCGCAGAAGAAGCACCGGCUAACUCCGUG